UACGUAGGGAGCAAGCGUUGUCCGGAUUUAUUGGGCGUAAAGAGCUCGUAGGCGGUUCGGUAAGUCGGGUGUGAAAACUCUGGGCUCAACCCGGAGAGGCCACUCGAUACUGCCGUGACUUGAGUCUGGUAGGGGAGCACGGAAUUCCUGGUGUAGCGGUGAAAUGCACAGAUAUCAGGAGGAACACCGGUGGCGAAGGCGGGUCUCUGGGCCGAUACUGACGCUGAGGAGCGAAAGCGUGGGG
rnacentral:rRNA from 1 species